UUGGUAUGCACUGGCUUUACUGAUUCCUCCUUCUUGACGAACCAUGAUGUCAUUAAUUUGGUGUUGCGGGAAAUCAGGACUGUUACUUUGAAAAAAUUAGAGUGUUUAAAGCAGGCUAACGCUUGAAUACAUUAGCAUGGAAUAAUGAAAUAGGACGUUAAUCCUAUUUUGUUGGUUUCUAGGAUCGACGUAAUGAUUAAUAGGGAUAGUUGGGGGCAUUAGUAUUCAAUUGUCAGAGGUGAAAUUCUUGGAUUUAUUGAAGACUAACUACUGCGAAAGCAUUUGCCAAGGAUGUUUUCAUUAAUCAAGAACGAAAGUUAGGGGAUCGAAAACGAUCAGAUACCGUCGUAGUCUUAACCAUAAACUAUGCCGACAGGGAUCGGAUGAAGUUAAUUUUUAAAUGACUCCUCUC
rnacentral:rRNA from 1 species